AUCCUUUUGUGGUUGAUAAGUGUGAUGAUUGAGUUUUCAUGGUCAUGUAUGAGAUGUGCCCCCACUCAAACUUGUCACAACAUCUGCUUAUUAUCAGACAUGAAA
rnacentral:snoRNA from 10 species